rnacentral:rRNA from 1 species
AACUUUCAACAAUGGAUCUCUUGGUUCCGGCAUCGAUGAAGAACGUAGCGAACUGCGAUAAGUAAUGUGAAUUGCAGAAUUCAGUGAAUCAUCGAGUCUUUGAACGCACAUUGCGCCCCCUGGCCUUCCGGGGGGCAUGCCUGUCCGAGCGUCAUU